rnacentral:rRNA from 1 species
CCUACGGGUGGCAGCAGUGAGGAAUAUUGGUCAAUGGUCGGGAGACUGAACCAGCCAAGCCGCGUGAGGGAUGAAGGUACAGAGUAUCGUAAACCUCUUUUGUCAGGGAACAAAGGCGGGGACGUGUCCCCGGAUGAGUGUACCUGAAGAAAAAGCAUCGGCUAACUCCGUGCCAGCAGCCGCGGUAAUACGGAGGAUGCGAGCGUUAUCCGGAUUUAUUGGGUUUAAAGGGUGCGCAGGCGGUCUGUUAAGUCAGCGGUCAAAGCCCGGGGCUCAACCCCGGCCCGCCGUUGAAACUGGCAGUCUCGAGUUGGAGAGAAGUAUGCGGAAGGCGCGGUGUAGCGGUGAAAUGCAUAGAUAUCAGGAGGAAUACCGUUAGCGAAGGCGGCAAUCUGGCUGGAAACUGACGCUGAGGUGCGAAAGCGUGGGUAGCAAACAGGAUUAGAUACCCCAGUAGUC